GUUCUUGUAGUUUAAGGAAAAAAAACGUAACGUUGAAAAUGUUGAGAUAAGAAAUUCGAGAAUA
rnacentral:tRNA from 1 species